CCUACGGGUGGCAGCAGUGGGGAAUAUUGCGCAAUGGGCGAAAGCCUGACGCAGCGACGUCGCGUGAGGGAUGAAGGUCUUCGGAUCGUUAACCUCUGUCAGCAGGGAAGCACGGUCACUGUGCUAAUCAGCAGUGAAUUGACGGUACCUGCAAAGGAAGCACCGGCUAACUCCGUGCCAGCAGCCGCGGUAAUACGGAGGGUGCGUGCGUUAAUCGGAAUUACUGGGCGUAAAGCGCUCGUAGGCGGUAUGUCAAGUCAAGGGUGAAAUCCCCGCGCUCAACGUGGGAACUGCCGUUGAAACUGGCAAACUGGAGUGUGUGAGAGGAUAGUGGAAUGCCAGGUGUAGGAGUGAAAUCCGUAGAUAUCAGGAGGAACAUCAGUGGCGAAGGCGACUAACUGGCACAUAACUGACGCUGAGGAGCGAAAGCGUGGGUAGCAAACAGGAUUAGAUACCCCAGUAGUC
rnacentral:rRNA from 1 species